rnacentral:rRNA from 1 species
AGAGUUUGAUCCUGGCUCAGGAUGAACGCUGGCGGUAUGCUUAACACAUGCAAGUCGAAAUAAAUCUUCGGAUUUAGUGGCGGACGGGUGAGUAACGCGUGAGAAUCUGGCUUCAGGUCUGGGACAACCACUGGAAACGGUGGCUAAUACCGGAUGUGCCGAGAGGUGAAAGAUUAAUUGCCUGAAGAUGAGCUCGCGUCUGAUUAGCUAGUAGGUAGUGUAAAGGAGCACCUAGGCGACGAUCAGUAGCUGGUCUGAGAGGACGAUCAGCCACACUGGGACUGAGACACGGCCCAGACUCCUACGGGAGGCAGCAGUGGGGAAUUUUCCGCAAUGGGCGAAAGCCUGACGGAGCAAUACCGCGUGAGGGAGGAAGGCUCUUGGGUCGUAAACCUCUUUUCUCAGGGAAGAACACAAUGACGGUACCUGAGGAAUAAGCAUCGGCUAACUCCGUGCCAGCAGCCGCGGUAAUACGGAGGAUGCAAGCGUUAUCCGGAAUGAUUGGGCGUAAAGCGUCCGCAGGUGGCUAUGUAAGUCUGCUGUUAAAGAGUCUAGCUCAACUAGAUAAGAGCAGUGGAAACUACAUGGCUAGAGUGCGUUCGGGGCAGAGGGAAUUCCUGGUGUAGCGGUGAAAUGCGUAGAGAUCAGGAAGAACACCGGUGGCGAAGGCGCUCUGCUAGGCCGCAACUGACACUGAGGGACGAAAGCUAGGGGAGCGAAUGGGAUUAGAUACCCCAGUAGUCCUAGCCGUAAACGAUGGAUACUAGGCGUGGCUUGUAUCGACCCGAGCCGUGCCGUAGCUAACGCGUUAAGUAUCCCGCCUGGGGAGUACGCCGGCAACGGUGAAACUCAAAGGAAUUGACGGGGGCCCGCACAAGCGGUGGAGUAUGUGGUUUAAUUCGAUGCAACGCGAAGAACCUUACCAAGGCUUGACAUGUCGCGAAUCCGGGUGAAAGCCGGGAGUGCCUUCGGGAGCGCGAACACAGGUGGUGCAUGGCUGUCGUCAGCUCGUGUCGUGAGAUGUUGGGUUAAGUCCCGCAACGAGCGCAACCCUCGUUUUUAGUUGCCAGCAUUAAGUUGGGCACUCUAGAGAGACUGCCGGUGACAAACCGGAGGAAGGUGGGGAUGACGUCAAGUCAGCAUGCCCCUUACGCCUUGGGCUACACACGUACUACAAUGCUCCGGACAGAGGGCAGCAAGCAUGCGAAUGCAAGCAAAUCCCGUAAACCGGAGCUCAGUUCAGAUCGCAGGCUGCAACUCGCCUGCGUGAAGGAGGAAUCGCUAGUAAUUGCAGGUCAGCAUACUGCAGUGAAUUCGUUCCCGGGCCUUGUACACACCGCCCGUCACACCAUGGAAGCUGGUAGUGCCCGAAGUCAUUACUCCAACCUUUCGGGGAGGAGGAUGCCUAAGGCAGGACUGGUGACUGGGGUGAAGUCGUAACAAGGUAGCCGUACCGGAAGGUGUGGCUGGAUCACCUCCUU